CAUACUGAAUAAAUAGGUAUGCAGAGGUACACCCGGGGAACUGAAACAUCUAAGUACCCGGAGGAAGAGAAAGAAAUAUCGAUUUCCUAAGUAGCGGCGAGCGAAAGGGAAAGAGCCCAAACCUAAGUCUUUGACUUAGGGGUUGAGGAUAGAUCAUAAAUACUGUAAUUCUUUAAUUGAAGAUAGCUGGAAAGCUGCUCCGCAGAAGGUAAUAGGCCUGUAAAUGAAAAGGAAGAACAGUCAGAUCUAAUCCAGAGUACCACGAGACACGUGAAACCUUGUGGGAAGCUGGGAGGACCACCUCCCAAGGCUAAAUACUACCUAGUGACCGAUAGUGAAGAAGUACCGUGAGGGAAAGGUGAAAAGAACCCCGGAAGGGGAGUGAAAUAGAACCUGAAACCGUGUGCCUACAACCGGUCGAAGCACUUUUUAUGUGUGACGGCGUGCUUUUUGUAGAACGAGCCAACGAGUUACGAUAUGUAGCAAGGUUAAGUACUUAAGGUACGGAGCCGAAGGGAAACCGAGUCUGAAUAGGGCGUUCUAGUUGCAUGUCGUAGACCCGAAACCGGGUGACCUAUCCAUGGCCAGGAUGAAGCGGAAGUAAAAUUCCGUGGAGGUCCGAACCACGUUGGUGUUGAAAAACCAUGGGAUGAGCUGUGGAUAGCGGAGAAAUUCCAAUCGAACUCGGAGAUAGCUGGUUCUCCUCGAAAUAGCUUUAGGGCUAGCGUCGAUUAAUUGAGUAAUGGAGGUAGAGCACUGAAUGGGCUAGGGGCUGACAACAGUUACUGAACCCUAUCAAACUCCGAAUGCCAUAUACUUUUAUUUCGGCAGUCAGACUGCGAAUGAUAAGAUCCGUAGUCAAAAGGGAAACAGCCCAGACCAUCAGCUAAGGUCCCAAAGUGUAAGUUAAGUGGAAAAGGAUGUGGGAUUUCUAAGACAACUAGGAUGUUGGCUCAGAAGCAGCCACUCAUUCAAAGAGUGCGUAAUAGCUCACUAGUCAAGAGAUCCUGCGCCGAAGAUGUCCGGGGCUAAAACUUACCACCGAAGCUAUGGGUUUACACAAUUGUGUAAGCGGUAGAGGAGCUUUCUGUACUGGCUGAAGUCAUACCGUAAGGAGUGGUGGACGGUACAGAAGUGAGAAUGUUGGCAUGAGUAGCGAGAGUUAAGUGAGAAUCUUAACGGUCGAAAACCUAAGGUUUCCUGAGGAAGGCUCGUCCUCUCAGGGUUAGUCGGGAC
rnacentral:rRNA from 1 species